UACGAAGGGGGCGAGCGUUGUUCGGAAUUACUGGGCGUAAAGGGCGCGUAGGCGGCGAUCCUAGUCAAGAUGUGAAAGUCCUGGGCUUAACCUGGGGACUGCAUUUGAUACUGGAUUGCUUGAAUUCGGGAGAGGAUAGCGGAUUCCCAGUGUAGAGGUGAAAUUCGUAGAUAUUGGGAAGAACACCGGUGGCGAAGGCGGCUAUCUGGACCGACAUUGACGCUGAGGCGCGAAAGCGUGGGGAGCAAACAGG
rnacentral:rRNA from 1 species